UAGGGAAUCUUCGGCAAUGGGGGGUACCCUGACCGAGCAACGCCGCGUGAGUGAAGAAGGUUUUCGGAUCGUAAAGCUCUGUUGUUAAGGAAGAACGAGUGUGAGAAUGGAAAGUUCAUGCUGUGACGGUACUUAACCAGAAAGGGACGGCUAACUACGUGCCAGCAGCCGCGGUAAUACGUAGGUCCCGAGCGUUGUCCGGAUUUAUUGGGCGUAAAGCGAGCGCAGGCGGUUAGAAAAGUCUGAAGUGAAAGGCAGUGGCUCAACCAUUGUAGGCUUUGGAAACUGUUUAACUUGAGUGCAGAAGGGGAGAGUGGAAUUCCAUGUGUAGCGGUGAAAUGCGUAGAUAUAUGGAGGAACACCGGUGACGAAAGCGGCUCUCUGGUCUGUAACUGACGCUGAGGCUCGAAAGCGUGGGGAGCGAACAGG
rnacentral:rRNA from 1 species